rnacentral:rRNA from 1 species
UACGAAGGGGGCUAGCGUUGCUCGGAAUCACUGGGCGUAAAGCGCACGUAGGCGGAUCGCUAAGUCAGGGGUGAAAUCCUGGAGCUCAACUCCAGAACUGCCUUUGAUACUGGCAAUCUCGAGUCCGGGAGAGGUGAGUGGAACUGCGAGUGUAGAGGUGAAAUUCGUAGAUAUUCGCAAGAACACCAGUGGCGAAGGCGGCUCACUGGCCCGGUACUGACGCUGAGGCACGAAAGCGUGGGGAUCAAACAGG